rnacentral:lncRNA from 1 species
GUAAACCAAUCCGAUGUUAAUCAAACAUGUCUUUUUUUGACAAAUUCUAUUAAAAUCCAAAGGCUUAAAAUUCACUUAGCCGAAUUUAAUUUUUUAUUAGCGCAUAUUAGUCUUAUAAAAAGUAAAGUAUGAAAAUUUAUAUUUACUUAAUUUGAUCUAAAAGUCAUUAUUUUAUAAUUAAGUACGAUACUAGAAUAAUAAAAUAUAGAGAUAAUUGCUUAUAUACUCCUCAAAACUUAAGAAAUAUCUUUCCUAUCAAUGAAAUUUUUUUGUUGCAAAAAU